ACACUGGGACUGAGACACGGCCCAGACUCCUACGGGAGGCAGCAGUGGGGAAUUUUGGACAAUGGGCGCAAGCCUGAUCCAGCCAUGCCGCGUGAGUGAAGAAGGCCUUCGGGUUGUAAAGCUCUUUCAGGUGGAAAGAAAACGCAUGGGUUAAUACCCUGUGUGGAUGACGGUACCAUCAGAAGAAGCACCGGCUAACUACGUGCCAGCAGCCGCGGUAAUACGUAGGGUGCGAGCGUUAAUCGACACU
rnacentral:rRNA from 1 species